rnacentral:misc_RNA from 1 species
CGGAGAUAUAAUGAGAAAGGAGUCCAUACGCCUUGCUUCUGUUCCUUGUUCACCUCUUAAGAUUGAAUUACAUGAUGAUGAGUUUUAUUGUGUUGAAAGCACUGGAGCAGUUGUGACUCUGACCUCUAGCGUCCGUUUGAUAUAUUUCUAUUGCUCACGUCUCCCUUCUGAUGGGUAUUUUAAACCUGCCCCAAGGUGUGUUAUUGACAAGGAGAGGGAGGUUUGCACAUUGCAUCUGCCAAAGAGUUGUGAUAUACAGAAUAUUUGUGUACAAGG